rnacentral:rRNA from 1 species
ACACAUGCAAGUCGAGGGGCAGCAUGGUCUUAGCUUGCUAAGGCCGAUGGCGACCGGCGCACGGGUGAGUAACACGUAUCCAACCUGCCGUCUACUCUUGGACAGCCUUCUGAAAGGAAGAUUAAUACAAGAUGGCAUCAUGAGUCCGCAUGUUCACAUGAUUAAAGGUAUUCCGGUAGACGAUGGGGAUGCGUUCCAUUAGAUAGUAGGCGGGGUAACGGCCCACCUAGUCUUCGAUGGAUAGGGGUUCUGAGAGGAAGGUCCCCCACAUUGGAACUGAGACACGGUCCAAACUCCUACGGGAGGCAGCAGUGAGGAAUAUUGGUCAAUGGGCGAGAGCCUGAACCAGCCAAGUAGCGUGAAGGAUGACUGCCCUAUGGGUUGUAAACUUCUUUUAUAAAGGAAUAAAGUCGGGUAUGGAUACCCGUUUGCAUGUACUUUAUGAAUAAGGAUCGGCUAACUCCGUGCCAGCAGCCGCGGUAAUACGGAGGAUCCGAGCGUUAUCCGGAUUUAUUGGGUUUAAAGGGAGCGUAGAUGGAUGUUUAAGUCAGUUGUGAAAGUUUGCGGCUCAACCGUAAAAUUGCAGUUGAUACUGGAUAUCUUGAGUGCAGUUGAGGCAGGCGGAAUUCGUGGUGUAGCGGUGAAAUGCUUAGAUAUCACGAAGAACUCCGAUUGCGAAGGCAGCCUGCUAAGCUGCAACUGACAUUGAGGCUCGAAAGUGUGGGUAUCAAACAGGAUUAGAUACCCUGGUAGUCCACACGGUAAACGAUGAAUACUCGCUGUUUGCGAUAUACUGCAAGCGGC